rnacentral:rRNA from 1 species
UGGGGAAUAUUGGACAAUGGGGGCAACCCUGAUCCAGCAAUGCCGCGUGUGUGAAGAAGGCCUUCGGGUUGUAAAGCACUUUUGUCCGGAACGAAACGUGCGGGGCGAAUAGCCUCGUAAACUGACGGUACCGGAAGAAUCAGCACCGGCUAACUUCGUGCCAGCAGCCGCGGUAAUACGAAGGGUGCAAGCGUUACUCGGAAUUACUGGGCGUAAAGGGUGCGUAGGUGGUUUGUUAAGUCUGCCGUGAAAUCCCCGGGCUCAACCUGGGAAUGGCGGUGGAUACUGGCAAGCUGGAGUGCGGUAGAGGGUAGUGGAAUUCCCGGUGUAGCAGUGAAAUGCGUAGAGAUCGGGAGGAACACCAGUGGCGAAGGCGGCUACCUGGACCAGCACUGACACUGAGGCACGAAAGCGUGGGGAGCAAACA